GAUGAACGCUGGCGGCGUGCUUAACACAUGCAAGUCGAACGAGAAUCUACGGAUAGAGGAUUCGUCCAAUUGAAGUAGAGGAAAGUGGCGGACGGGUGAGUAACGCGUGAGGAACCUGCCCAGGAGUGGGGAAUAACAGUCCGAAAGGACUGCUAAUACCGCAUAAUGCAGUUGGAUCGCAUGGCUCUGACUGCCAAAGAUUUAUCGCUCUUAGAUGGCCUCGCGUCUGAUUAGCUAGUUGGUAGGGUAACGGCCUACCAAGGCGACGAUCAGUAGCCGGACUGGGAGGUUGGCCGGCCAGAUAGGGACUGAGACACGGCCCAGACUCCUACGGGAGGCAGCAGUGGGGAAUAUUGGGCAAUGGGCGCAAGCCUGACCCAGCAACGCCGCGUGAAGGAAGAAGGCCUUCGGGUUGUAAACUUCUUUUACCAGGGACGAAGAACGUGACGGUACCUGGAGAAAAAGCAACGGCUAACUACGUGCCAGCCGCCGCGGUAACAC
rnacentral:rRNA from 1 species